ACUCCUACGGGAGGCAGCAGUGGGGAAUUUUGCGCAAUGGGCGAAAGCCUGACGCAGCAACGCCGCGUGAGUGAUGAAGGCUUUCGGGUCGUAAAGCUCUGUCGAGGGGAAAGAAAUGUAUUGUGGUUAAUACCUGCGAUACUUGACGGUACCCCUAAGGAAGCACCGGCUAACUCCGUGCCAGCAGCCGCGGUAAUACGGGGGGUGCAAGCGUUGUUCGGAAUUAUUGGGCGUAAAGCGCGUGUAGGCGGUUUGUUAAGUCUGUUGUGAAAGCCCUGGGCUCAACCCAGGAAGUGCACUGGAAACUGGCAGACUUGAAUACGGGAGAGGGUAGUGGAAUUCCUGGUGUAGGAGUGAAAUCCGUAGAUAUCAGGAGGAACACCGGUGGCGAAGGCGGCUACCUGGACCGAUAUUGACGCUGAGACGCGAAAGCGUGGGUAGCAAACAGGAUUAGAUACCCUGGUAGUCCACGCCGUAAACGAUGAGUACUAGGUGUUGCGGGUAUUGACCCCUGCAGUGCCGCAGCUAACGCAUUAAGUACUCCGCCUGGGAAGUACGGUCGCAAGACUAAAACUCAAAUGAAUUGACGG
rnacentral:rRNA from 1 species